AAUAGGGCGCGGAUGUCGAUUGCCCGAAGAGGAACUCGAGCGGUGAAAGGGUUGAUUGAUGUUGACUCGGCUGCUUUUAUCGCCACUUACAUGGUAUUGAAAAAUGACUGCAACGGUUAGAAUCAAGACAUUUCCUAUCGGUAUUCGAUCUCCGUGUAUGCAAUCGAAAGGAGCAAAUUUUAAUCACCGUCCUAUUAUAAAUCUCGAUCUAAUAAACGGAACUGGCUUUCUGGUAUCAGUGUCGUAUCACAGAUAAACACAACGGCGAUGACCAAGUAACCUGGAAAUGCAAGGUACAUCGACACGCGUGCUCAAAUAAAAGGAGCAGUACCGCUAAGGAAUAAGAGAAGAAAGAGGACUAAGAGGACUAAGGAGAACACGACCUUGCCUGCAUUCAGCUGUGUCAUCCGCGAGCCGUUAACGCUCAGGUGCUUUCGAACCCAGGGACGAGCAUCAAUCACUAUCGGUCGGAUGAAUCAACUCUAGAUGAAAGUUGGACAUCGUCGAUCACAUACUGGGCCAACGAAGAAGUUAAAAGCGGCACGUGCAUUACUAAAAAUCAUAAAGAAGCAUAAAGAGUAAGGUUUCUGUAUCGUAAGAUUUCUGUGCCGAUAUGAGAAGGCCCAGUUAAUGCUCUACAUCUACCCUGUAGAUCCGAAUUUGUUUGAUAAGAGGCGACAAAUUCGGUUCUAGAGAGGUUUGUGUGGUGCAUACAGAGCUACAGCGGUCUCGAAACAACAGUCGUACUUCUCGCGCGCGUAUCUCAAUGUAAUUAUUUAAUUAAUUACAUAUUCAGUUCGAAAAAUUAAGUAAGAUUCGUUAAGUAAGAACUGAUAAAUGGAGACGUUGUGGCAAUCGAUAUGUUUGAAAAUUCAGACAGACAAUUGAAACGAUCUGAAAGUAUUUUUAACGAACUGUAACUCUUGUAAUUUUUCAUAAGAUCUUGACUCUUCCGUUGAUUUAACGUGUAAUAUUUUACAAAGUUUACAACUGUCUAUACAAUUCUUUUCAAAAAAGAAAGCAGUGACGGUCGUUUGCGGGAAAUUGAUUAGUGAAAACGAGAGUCUCUCAAGUCUGUAUAAAGGAGUAUCGAAACUAUCAGAAUGACGCGAGUGUGAUUCGAUUAGGACGAUGACUAGCCAAACAGGUCGAACUGAAUUAAGACCAAUAACUGAACUGCGCUGAAUCGUAUUCUCUAGCAACUCGACUAUUUUAAGACUCUUAAAACCAAACCUCGCUACGAGAUACGAUAAAAAAGAAAAUUCCCCGUGUUCAAGUGUCUACUACGCGCUGUAAUACAAUCCUCUAGCAAAUUUCAUUUUUUCGAAGGAUUUCUUCCAUUGAACUCACAGUUCCUCCAGCGAGAUGCUCCGAAUUCCACGCGUUUUCUUGUCUUGUACGAUGUCUUUAAGGAGGAGAGAAACAAGAACAAGUUGUGUCGUUGUCACAAUUGCUGUAAGAACGUCUUCAUUAAUCGCGAUGAGCAAUUGCAAAGAACACGUGUUGCACGUCUUGAUAAUUUAACGAGGUUUAAUAUCGUAUUUGUUGCGUGAUCGUUCUUCUUCACUCAUACGAACGGAUUUUACUGG